CGCCAUUGCUAAGUGCUGGGACGUUGUCAUUGUUGUGGUGCCAAGAAGUGGGAACUGUUUCGAAGGACAGAGAUCGUCAUCAUAUGGGAGUAGGAAACCCAGGAAGCCGUGCACAAGAGCAAGAGGACCUGGGAAGUGCCGAGUCUGAGUACAGCACUUCGUCACUUUGUUAGUGGACCUUCAAUCCCGUCGAGUGGACGUCAUCCGAGCAUCUCCGUUGAACCAUCUCACCAGACAUCGAGCACUUGUGGGCGUGGGUAAUAAUUUACGCUCUGCUUUGGAUACAUGCAUGGACCCAACCACGAGGAUAUGAUGGCCUUUAGAGCCAUGACCUUUGAAGUGAAUGCCGCUUUCUGGGCAUCCAAAGUUCGUCGCGGGUAAAAAUUCAUGACUUGGAAACAUUUAUUUUGCUAUGAGAUGAUAAUGCUCCGUUUAAAGUAGUAACUGACACAAAAUAUAAAUCGUUGCCGUUCUAUUGUU